UAGAACCAUCCGGAAACCAAAAUCUACAAUUUGAUUUUUAUUUUCAUUUUACUUUCUACUUCUAAUUUGUUUUGUGUUUUCUUCAGUUCAGGUAUAUCUUUCUUUUUUGGUUUUCAGGAAACAGAAGUCUCUUCUCACGAAAGCUUGCAGCAAGUAGUCGUCCUAGCACAGAUUCUGAUAUGUGGUAUUGACAACUUUCAUCGUGAUUUAAUGGUUGGGUUGGUGCACACGAAAGCUUCUUAGAGAGCAACUUGGCCAUUGUUGGUGGCAAUGAUUAGUGAGGAUGGUUGUGACUUGUAAGGCGAUUGGAGCAGCGGUAUUCCAUAUUACCUUUCUGUCACUCUAAAUUUCUUGCUUAAGGUAACAAAAGGUUUCCACCUUCUAUUGGGUGUGAAAGGAGUGUGGGCUGUUUUUUUUUUUUUUUUUUUUUUUUGGAUGGGUUUUCCCAACUCUUUCAUGUUAGAGUUUAUUGCAUUGAUAUUAGCAAUGGUCAUGAAUUUUUUUGGGGGGAGGGUUUGUGUAUAAUAUGAUUGAUAAAAUUCCUCAAUGAAUGAGUGGUACUGGAAUAUAUAUAUAUAUA